UACCUGCAGCUCUAGUGGUGGCCACUAUUAUUGGGCCUAGAACGUCCGUAGCCGGCUUAUUAAAUGCCUGGGUAAAUCGUAUGGCUCAACCAUACGAAUUCCGGGUAGACUGAUAGGCUUGGGACCGGGAGAAGCUAGAGGUACUCAUGGGGUAGAGGUGAAAUUCUGUAAUCCUAGGGGGACCACCAGUGGCGAAGGCGUCUAGCUAGAACGGGUUUGACGGUGAGGGACGAAGCCCUGGGGAGCAAACGGGAUUAGAUACCCCGGUAGUCCAGGGUGUAAACGCUGCUUGCUUGAUGUUAGUCGGGCUCCGAGCCCGAUUAGUGUCGGAGAGAAGUUGUUAAGCAAGCUGCCUGGGAAGUACGGCCGCAAGACUGAAACUUAAAGGAAUUGGCGGGGGAGCACUGCAACAGGUGGAGCGUGCGGUUUAAUUGGAUUCAACGCCGGAAAGCUCACCGGAGGCGACGGUUAUAUGAAGGCCAGGCUAAUGACCUUGCCAGAUUUUCCGAGAGGUGGUGCAUGGCCGUCGUCAGUUCGUACCGUAAGGCGUUCUGUUAAGUCAGACAACGAACAAGACCCUCAUCUUUAAUUGCAACUGGUAAGUCCGCUUAUCAGGCACAUUAAAGAAACCGCUGGUGCUAAAUCAGAGGAAGGUGAGGGCAACGGUAGGUCAGUAUGCCCUGAAUCCUCCGGGCUACACGCGCGCUACAAAGGAUAGGACAAUGGGUCCCGACACUGAAAGGUGAAGGUAAUCUUGAAACCUAUUCAUAGUUCGGAUCGAGGGUUGUAACUCACCUUCGUGAAGCUGGAAUCUGUAGUAAUCGCGGAUCAACAUCCCGCGGUGAAUAUGCCCCUGCUCCU
rnacentral:rRNA from 1 species